rnacentral:ncRNA from 2 species
AAGAUCUAUGGAGGCAAAGAAAGAUCAUCUGCAUUUGGGCGCUUUGGGUGAUUGGGAGCCGGUAGCGCAACCGACCAUAAAAUUU